rnacentral:rRNA from 1 species
GAUGAACGCUGGCGGCGUGCCUAAUACAUGCAAGUCGAGCGAACAGACGAGGAGCUUGCUCCUCUGACGUUAGCGGCGGACGGGUGAGUAACACGUGUAUAACCUACCUAUAAGACUGGGAUAAUUUCGGGAAACCGGAUCUAAUACCGGAUAACAUGUUGCAGCGCAUGGUUCAAUAGUGAAAGACGGUGGUGCUGUCACGUAUAGAUGGAUUCGCGCCGUAGUAGCUAGUUGGUAAGUUAAAGGCUUAUCAAGGCAACGAUGCGUAGGCGAACUGAGAGGCGGAUCGACCGCACUGGAGCUGAGACACGGACAAGGCUACUACGGGACGCCGCAGUAGCGAACCGUCCGCAACAGGCGAAAACAUGACGCAGCAACGCCGCGUGAGUGACGGAGGUCUUCGGAUCGUAAAAAUCUGUUAUUAGUGAAGAACAAAUGUGUAAGUAACCAUGCACGUAUUGACGGUACCUAAUCAGAAAGCCCCGGCUAACUACGUG